UACUCGUUAUUUUACAACAAAAUCCCUAACAGUGUAGCUCCAUAUGAACCCAUGUAAAUGGGUACGGAAAAAAAGUACGAAACGUUCCGUGGUUGGCUAGUACGGACGUUCCAGGCAAAUUAAUGACCAGACAUGUUCCGUACUUCACAGUGCGGAAGAGAGAGCACCUAUCACAAUCUAAGGACUUGUCAUCAGCCUAUGCGGUUUCGUUAUUUGCAAAGACAUUCUUCCCAAAGGUCUGAAAUUCUUGGCUGCAAGACUGUACCAAAGCUUAAUGAUGUGUUUGUGAGGUGGCUGUGCCCAAGGUCUGCGAACCUACUGAUUCAUCAUGUUCAACAAAGAAAUGAAGAACUUGUGGGCGGCGCAGCUGGACAAGAUGACUCCUGAUCUGAUAGGCUUCUUCAACAGUUACUGCUGUGAGAGUCCUCGUAGCAAUGCCGAGCUGAGCAGCUGAAAGUUUUUUCGGAAGCCCAAGGCGCUGUGGAGAACAUGGAGAGCCAGAUUCCCAACAGGACUGUGACUCUGAUUCUGAAUUUUUGGAGAAUGCUGUGUGUUCUAAAGGCAACAUCAUCCUAUUGGUCCAAGGAUUCUCAGUGUUUGAUCCAAAUGCCAAAUGCUUUGUAGUUAUUCGAAUGAACCAGGUUAUAGAAGCUAGAGAUCAAUUGGAGGGCAUCUUAGUGAUGUUUAUUUGUUUUUUCAUCUUUGGUUUCAAGUACACUGAAGACGUAUUAUAUUUUCUUUGGCUUCCUAUUAAAAAGCUGUCAAAAGUUGGUGUUUGUAGUACUUGC